UCGAUGAAGACCGUUGCAAAAUGCGAUAAGUGGUGUGAUAUGCAAGUCCAAAACUUAUACGUGAACCAUCGAAUUGUUGAACGCACUGCAUCGAGCCUUACCCAGGAACGAUACGCCCCAUUGAGCGUCAUUACGUCUUCGCGACACCGUCAUUUACCUGACGUGUCCGGGUUCGGGAUUCACAGCUCGCGCUGCGCUUCCUUAGAUACAUUGCUGCACACGGAUCGACAGUCUCCUUGUCAUAAAUGCCAGGGACGGCUUGAGAUGCGCAUGCAAGAUCGGUCUCUCGCGGACCUGAUCGAUCGCAACGGCCGGCUCACGCUGGUCCGCGCACUUCUACACAUGACCUCACGGGGGCGGGACGACCCGCUAGACUUAAGCAUAUUAAUCAGCGGAGGAAAAGAAACUAACAAGGAUUCCCCUAGUAACUGCGAGUGAACAGGGAUGAGCUCAAUGUGUGAAUCGGGUCGGGAUUAGCACCUUGCCCGAGUUGUGCACUAUAGACAGCGGAUCAGCGCUUGAAGACUCGUGGUGGAUAUCCGAUGAAACUCGGUGCUAUUAAGGGUCAUAGUCCUGUACUUGCCUUAUGAGUCUUUGCGCAUUUGACCGAUGUUCUGCGAGUCGCGUAGUUUUGUAAUGCUGCGCCAAUUUGGAGGUAGAGCCCUUCUAAAGCUAAAUAUGAUGACGUGACCGAUAG
rnacentral:rRNA from 1 species